UGCCUUCCAGCCCGGGUGUCAUCCCCCGGACACUCCCACCCCUGGCUUAAGUUCCAGUGAUUCUCUAGGCAUGAUCCCACCCUGCUGCCGUCUUUGUUCCUGGGCCGCCUGGGACUGCCUGGUGGAUGGAGCCUUUGAACAAAUGAGAAACAUCCCCCCCCCCUUCUCCGGGCAGGCACAGCCCUUCAAGGAUCACACGGAGCCGGGAAGGUGAAUCACGAGAGGAGCCCUGUGUGACGUGGCCAGCACAGAAGGCUCAGCUCCCCGGGACCUCAAGUGGAGAGACAGGGCCUGGAAUUUCCCAGAUGUCACACUUGGCUGAGCCCCUUUCCUUGGAUUUCUGCAGAGGACGGACAAGAGACUCCCAGCCCAGCGCCGGCUCACUGAGACCCUGUAGUCUCUGUUUCAUUCAUAAAGCUGUGUCAGUGUGUUUAUAUCAUUGAAUUUGGAGGGAGGGAGGGUGAGGCCAGGCCGGGCAGCAGGGCUUCUGUCCCUCAGCUCAC